rnacentral:rRNA from 1 species
GCGUGAGUGAUGAAGGCCCUAGGGUUGUAAAGCUCUUUCGUCGGGGAAGAUAAUGACGGUACCCGAAGAAGAAGCCUCGGCUAACUCCGUGCCAGCAGCCGCGGUAAGACGGAGGAGGCUAGCGUUGUUCGGAAUUACUGGGCGUAAAGCGUGCGCAGGUUGUAAGUUCAGUCUGAUGUGAAAGCCCGGGGCUCAACCUCGGAUGUGCAUUAGAUACUGGCUUGCUGGAGGUUGGAAGAGGAGAGUGGAAUUCCCAGUGUAGAGGUGAAAUUCGU